UACGGGGGGAGCAAGCGUUGUUCGGAAUCACUGGGCGUAAAGGGCGCGUAGGCGGACGUUUAAGUCGGGGGUGAAAUCCUGAGGCUCAACCUCAGAAUUGCCUUCGAUACUGGGCGUCUCGAGACCGGAAGAGGUGAGUGGAACUGCGAGUGUAGAGGUGAAAUUCGUAGAUAUUCGCAAGAACACCUAUAGCGAAGGCAGCUUACUAGGCUGUAACUGACGCUGAGGCACGAAAGUGUGGGGAUCAAACAGG
rnacentral:rRNA from 1 species